UGUUCAUUUCAAUCGUUCAAAUGUCUGUUUCACCCUUUAUACAAUCAACAUCGAUUUUGUCGACACGCGUAAAACUCGACCCCGCCACCCUAAUGCAAUCAGGUUGGUUUGAGCGCUUGUCCCGAGUCGUGUUGGGACAGGCUUCAUCUAGGGUAUAUAAGGAACUAGCGUUACUAAGCGAUCACACUCACAAUACCUUCUUGGAGGGCUCUUCGAGAGUGCUGAAGACGCAGGUGUACGCACCCCUCCCCUUAUGGGGUUAGGGCAUCGUACGCGCUGGACCAGACUCGAGGGAGAGUCCACAUCCAAGAUGGCGGUGGGUGUCACGUGACCAUGUAGGUCACCCCCAAACGUCCAUCAUGCUACACAACUGCCAAACAUCAACGACGAUCACGUACAUGGUAACGUCCUACUCACGUCAUAGCUGAAUGUCUCAACGUCUCCUUGUUGCUAUGGCAACGGCGACACCUCCAUCGUAUCAAUGAAGUCCACACGUCAUCGACUCCUGUCUCUCGAAGUCAAAGGUCAGAAGGUCAUCACCAAACCUCAACCCGUUCCUGCGAUUCGAUGUCACUCCAUCAAUUUGAAGUCAGAGGUCAAGGUCCACCAAAUGACCUUGACAUAUUCCUGCUCUCCGAUGUCAAGUUAUGUUUCAGAACUGUAAAGAUGCGUUUUGUGAAUGUUAACGAUGUCCACGCUUCAAUGGUCACGGCAGAGCUCAAGGUCAUCGUUGAAGUUGAAGGUCACGAGUCUCAUACAAAAUGGUCACACCUGCAAAGAUAGAAACUCGUGGUGAAAGCGAAACCAUCACAUCCACUGGCGAAUACGUUUUACGGUAUUAAAACAUUUAUGGACAACUGUCAUCAUGACGUCAUUGAAGUUAAAUUUCGUCUUUGAAAUUAAAUUAACUGUCUGCUGUUUAAACGAAAAAGGCCAAUUUAAAACACCUAAAAUCUCCAAACUAUGAGAGAAACGAUAUUAAUGUAUCACCACUCAUCUUACUUGAUACAUUUCAAUUCAAGCAUAACUAACAGUCGUUACACCCAAGCUGCUGAAUAUCACCCAGAACUUGUCAAUUUCAUACAGAUGCUUGUCAAUUUCAAAGUAUUGUAAACCGAUCCAGUAUUUCCACAGCCGGUUGUCCAUGAACAUCUUGUAGGAACAUUGUUGAUUUCAUCCAUUGUACAUUCCAUGUCACCAUGUAUGUGAUCUGAUAUAUAUAUCUACUAACACUUUAUUUACUAACAUACGAAGCGCCGUGCCAACGGCCAAAUUCCUUAUCCAAACCGUCCAAAACUGUACAUAAAUGCAUAUAUUCAAAUAUUUAUUGUAGGUAUUGGAUAAUAUGUUAUCACAUGAUACAGGGAACAGACAAUCAAAAUGGAAUGGAAGCAUCUCCGGAGCAAUCUAUUUGAGAACAAAAAACCAUUUACGUUUAGAAAUUCUGUUAAAAAAUGUUUUUUAAAUUUUAUUUUCACAUUUAUUAUUUUAAUUUAACCCUAAGGAAAAAUGUUAAUUGUGGUUGACAGUUUCUCGUAUCAUGUGACCGAGUCAUAUGUCCUGUACAUAGCUUGUGUAUAUAUGCUUGUAAAUAUGCUUAUAAAUUAAUAUAUAUUUUUGUACGUUUAUUUUUUGUAUUAUCAGAUCUGUAAGUUAUUUAUACUUUUUGGCUGUAUGUGGAAAAGUUCGUCAUUGAUACUCUCCGCUGUCAUAUAUGCUGUUGACUGUGAUAUUUGUAAAAUAUGUAUUUUAUUAAUAAAAGUGUGAAUAGAGAGAAAA